CAGCGCCUCUCGCCAGACCGUGGGGCGACGUCCCCCUCGGAGGGGCGGCGGCCCUGCCCCGCCCGGCGGAGCCCCGCAAAGGGACAGAGAGGCACUGGGGGAUCUGGAGUGCGUGGGCCGCGAUCGAAGACGCACGGUGGCAGGCCUCCACAACAGAGAUCGGCGCACUAUGGUUGUGCAGCUCCUUGACCCCAAGGUAUAUCCACAGCGCCCACCCGCGGCCCCAAAGCACCUGGAGAGCACGUCUUAGGGGUUAACCAGCCACACCAACCUGAGACGCCCUGCAGCUGCCAAAACCCGGACCAGAAGCCCAGAAUGUGGGACCCAAUUCAGUGGUUUUCCUCAUCCAUCCAACCAUGCAUCCAUCCAUCAUUGCAUGCUUGCAUGCAUGCAUGCAUGCAUACCAUACAAAUCGGUGGACAGAAGCGCGGAGAGUUCUUUGCCCAGCUAUGGGCUGAGAACGGGCGCCCCCUUUGCAGCUCUUUCGCCUCCUGCUCAACCAAGACCCCCUCCGCAAGGGGAGAACAGCUCAAUUACGAAAGGAGCAAAGAAACGAAAUCCCGGGCUCAAACGCCCUGCCCACCGGAGCUUCUCCGGUCCCCCCCUUUCUGCUGCACGUUCCCCACCCCCACUGUCCCCAGCUCAGGGGCGGGCGGGGAGGCGGCGGUGCGAGGGGUCCUGCCCAGCUCCGCGUGAACAAAGCCCGCCGCGGGAGCUCGUGGCCGCGCUCAGAGCGGGUGACAAAGGCAGGCAGGCGGUGCCAAGCUCCAAGGCAGCGCUCGGAUGGCCAGGCGGGAAGGAGGCCCCGAAGAUGGGUGGUGCGAUUUGCACCCAGAUUUUUCUGGACUUCUGUGUUUCUCUCCUGUGUGCCCAAAGACCUGUUGGGUUGACUCAGCGUUUAUCUCUCUGGUCCUGCAACCUCACCAGCCUCCCACUUCUCUUGUGCCCGCCCCAGUCUCUUCCAUCUCGCCCAGCUUUUUUCUCUACCUCACUCCUUUUACCUCGGCCUCUUCUUGCUUUGAGGGUUAGGUUUUUCCCCCUUUUCUUUUCCAUGGUAAAAGCAAUGAUAACUGGACUUCUGCAGACUUCUCUGUGUUCCAAUAACAUUCUGAAAGACCUUUCUGGGUAUUUGCUGGCAAAAAGGGGCAAGUAAUGGGAGCCUUUUGAUUUUAUUAUGCAAACUGCACUCUAAAUAAAAUAAAAUGCCUUUAGAAUGCGAUCUAAGAAAGACAGACUUAGCCCUGAGGCCGAACAGAUUCCUGCUGAAUUCGGCAAGUGUCCCUGUCGGCUCCCACAAAUCACAUAAAUGGAGGGGGGGUGGAGAAUGGGAGCUUGAGUCUCUGGGGCAAACCUUUCUGGAAAAAAAAAAGUUCUAAUCUUACUUUCUAACCCUGAAUGGUAAUUGCUGCCAAGACUCUACCAGUAAAAUCGUACAAUUUUUUAAUUUA